GAUCCUGGCUCAGAAUCAACGCUGGCGGCGCGCUUAACACAUGCAAGUCGCACGAGAAAGGGGAGCAAUCCCUGAGUAAAGUGGCGUACGGGUGAGUAACACGUGGAUGAUCUACCUUCUAGUGGGGAAUAACCCAGGGAAACCGGGGCUAAUACCGCAUGAGCUCGAGAGAGGAAAGCAGCAAUGCGCUGGAAGAGGAGUCCGCGGCCGACUAGCUAGUUGGCAGGGUAAAAGCCUACCAAGGCAGAGAUCGGUAGCCGGCCUGAGAGGGCACACGGCCACACUGGCACUGAAACACGGGCCAGACUCCUACGGGAGGCAGCAGUGGGGAAUCUUGCACAAUGGGGGAAACCCUGAUGCAGCGACGCCGCGUGAGCGAUGAAGCCCUUCGGGGUGUAAAGCUCUUUCGGCAGGGAAGAUGAUGACGGUACCUGCAGAAGCAGCUGCGGCUAACUACGUGCCAGCAGCCGCGGUAAUACGUAGGCAGCGAGCGUUGUUCGGAGUUACUGGGCGUAAAGGGUGUGUAGGCGGUUGUUUAAGUUUGGUGUGAAAUCUCCCGGCUCAACUGGGAGGGUGCGCCGAAUACUGAAUGACUUGGAGUGCGGGAGAGGUGAGUGGAAUUCCUGGUGUAGCGGUGAAAUGCGUAGAUAUCAGGAGGAACACCGGUGGUGUAGACGGCUCACUGGACCG
rnacentral:rRNA from 1 species